GGAUUAGAUACCCUGGUAGUCCACGCCGUAAACGAUGAUCACUAGAUGUUCGGACUUCGGUCUGAGUGUCCAAGCGAAAGCGAUAAGUGAUCCACCUGGGGAGUACGUUCGCAAGAAUGAAACUCAAAGGAAUUGACGGGGGCCCGCACAAGCGGUGGAGCAUGUGGUUUAAUUCGAUGAUACGCGAGGAACCUUACCUGGGCUACAAUGCCUCUGACAGACGCCGAAAGGUGUUUUUCCUUCGGGACAGAGUGCAAGGUGCUGCAUGGUUGUCGUCAGCUCGUGCCG
rnacentral:rRNA from 1 species